CAGCCGCCGCGGGAAUACGAGGGGGGCAAGCGUUGUUCGGAAUUACUGGGCGUAAAGCGUGCGCAGGCGGUUGUGUAAGACAGGUGUGAAAUCCCCGGGCUUAACCUGGGAACUGCGCUUGUGACUGCACAGCUAGAGUAUGGCAGAGGGGGGUGGAAUUCCACGUGUAGCAGUGAAAUGCGUAGAGAUGUAGAGGAACACCGAUGGCGAAGGCAGCCCCCUGGGCCAAUACUGACGCUCAUGCACGAAAGCGUGGGGAACAAACAGGAUUAGAUACCCCUGUAGUCCCUGUCUCUUAUAC
rnacentral:rRNA from 1 species